CAUUCACAUGCCAGCAAUGCCAUUUGAAAGAUCUCGUUGAAUCUAGAGGACUCUACUUCUGUAAUGUUGGCUACCGGAGGAAUUCUGUAGCCACCUUCGUCCUUAAGGGAGGAUAGCAGCUGGUUCUUUUUAUGUCAUGUUAUUGGCAACGGCCGAUUGUCUGAUUUUAUUUGUGCUGUCACGAAUACUAAACAAUUUGAGGUAGAAUUGCAUUGAACUGUUUUCUACAGCACGAGGUUGUUGUACUCCAAAUACCUUCUGCAUUCAAGGAAACUUCAUCUGUUUACUCGGCACUGUUGUUUUCCAUUAUUGUCGUCAACAACCGACUUUCGUCAAUGCGGAAAGAGCAGAGCUGUGAAUUGGUUGUACAAGAAGUGCGUCGUAGAGUAGACAAUUUUGUGCUGGUAAAAACAUUUCACAAUAUCACAGGUCCACACCCUUACAGAAACAACGGAAAUUCAGAAUACCUUAGAGAAAAGACGAUAAUAUAAUUAAAUUUACUACGUAAAUUUAAUUUGCUCUCUGUGUCUUUGAGCGUCGGUUUGACUACGUUCCACUCGAAAUGCAUAAUAAAUUAUGGCAAAUAAUGAUUGAAAUAUAGGUACACGUCGAAAUCAAUGAAUGUUUAUUACGACUCCUUCCUUGAAGAGACUUCACACAGUCCCGAUCGUGAGAAACGCAACCCUCAUUAAAAGAACAACUAGAAUACUCAAUUGUAAACAAAUGCUAGAUACCAAGAACAACUGAGCUCGGACGUCAAAACAAGUUCCGGCCGGUUACGAGGACUUCGAUGUGCGUGCCCUGUUCAACGAAUUUCGAAUGAAAUACGAAACUAACUAAUUCUCGUUUCUUGAUGUUUAAAAGCAACGUGUGACUCAGGUAUCGAUUGUGUCAGGAAUUAGAAUUAGAACGAGAUUAAAAUUAAUAUUUCCUCGUCACCUUCCGUCUGAAGAACACAGGACGGCCAGCCUCAGAAUCUGAUUUUUUGUCUGUGUACGUCUGUGAACGAUCACCCAACCAGACACAGGGUGACGUGAGGUCAGCACGACGAACCCACAGCCAUUGCUAGCUUUCAUGACCGGAUUACGCUACUCAUUGUAGCUCCCCAGUUUCCUCACGAUGCUGGGUUGGCACCGGUCGAAAGCUCAUGAGAAAAUUUCUUCUCCCCCGAGACUCGAACCAGUGUGCAUUCCGUAUCACCCGGUCCGAAGCAAUGAGGCACAUUGAGUUUAUGUGUGACGACGUCAUCUAGACGCAGGUGUCCAUUUGAUUCUUGCCUUCAGUAGCAAGAGCAGACCCAGUCAGUUCCUCGUUGGACGUUGGUCGUUGUCGGUCGUGCAGUGAAAUCUGAAAUGUAUCUCGAACCUCGAUUUACCUGAUUUAUAAUUACGGGAUUUUAAAUCUGUGUUUAAUUGGGAAGUGUAAAUAAUUCUCGUACCCCAUCAAAGGCAAAAUAAGGUAAGAAGGCAGUGUCGUAUUUAUGGAGAGAGGCUACGAAAUGAGGAAUUUUUUGGUCGGCUGUCACGUAUAUUUAAUGACAAGUAAUUUGUGGAAAAUGGAACCAAAAUUGUUUUCGAACGAAUGUUCUUUUGUUACGCAAAAGAUUUCGAAGAAUGAAAUAAAUCGCCUAUAAAAUUUUAAAUGAUAAAAGCCGGAUUUCUAUUGAAUUUGGACUCCAAUGAUAUGCAAAUUUCGUGAAAUAUGAGAGUGGGGAAGAAAAACUUUCGAAAUUUUCUAAGAUUGAAAUGAAGUUCAAAUUGGGAAUGUGCGUUUGGCGUCAUGUAACAGGUGUUAGCAGCCUCUUCAAGGGUAAAUAUUUAGAUAACAUUAUACGAAUUUUUUAAAUCGUAGGCGUGUCUUUUUAGUUACAAAUUGUUAUAUUUUACCAUAAACUCACAUAGUUAUGUCAUCUGUUAAAAUUUCCUUUAUACUUCCUGAAGUUUCACUGGAGUUUAUGUACACAUUGCCAAUACAGAAUUGGUUUUCGUUUUAAAUUCAAAUUAAAUGUUUGUCUAUCGUCGACUAUUGUAAUUUUAAUGCUUUAAAAUUUCUAAUGAUUCUGUUCACAUUACUUUUAAAUUAAUAUGAAUUCGUUGUGGUAUGGAAACGAGAAAAACUGCCGAAUAAUUG